rnacentral:misc_RNA from 1 species
CUAGAGAUUCCAAUGGAAGUUGAGAGAAAACAAUCUUUGGGGACAAUAUUGGCACUUGGAGAAAAAUCAAGUUAUGGAUAUGAUGGAUAUUAAAGACUUCUCUAACUCUUUAAUUCCUAUUAUUUUCGUAGUUUUAUUUGUCCAGGUGUUCUUGUGGAGACGAAGGCGAAUGUAAAGUUGAUCUUGUUCAAUUCUCCAUUGCUUACCUCAUCAAAG